rnacentral:tRNA from 1 species
GGCUACCGUAGCUUCAGCUGGAUAGAGCGCCGUCGACACUGAGUUGGUGGAGGAAGCAGGUUCAAGUCCUGUCGGGAGCCU